GGAGGAGCCUCGCCCCGGAAGCGUCUCAUAGCCAACUUCCCCUUGUGCUCCGCCACCGUACGGCCAAGAAGGGGGUCGUCCCCCCUGGCCGUCACCUGAGUCCUCACCACCACCACCGAUUCCAUCUCUUCUCCAGUACUCACCACCCCCUGUGUAUCUCCCUCCCCACAAACCCCCUUAGCAUCACUCUUGUUCUCCAUGGGACGCGCUAUCUGAACAAAGGAGAGAAGACUCGAUCCCCUCUCUGCUACUGCUUCCUGUGAAGAACAAAGGCAUGUCCUCCUAAGGAAGAAAUACCCCUCUUCCUUGUCAUUACUAAGGAAAAAUCCUUCGUGGAUAGGUCGAUCACGACAUUGGCUCAGUCGAUAACACCAUGGAGUUGGUUCAGCGGUUGCCGUGGAUAUCAGUCAUAGCCGGGAGACGAGUUCGCUAACGAGGAGCCCGUUGAGUUUGCUUUCGAGGAUCCAGUCAACUCUGACAACUGUGCAGAUGCAGAGCCUGAUGAUUCCGUUCCAGGAGACGCGUAUGAUCUCAAGUGGGAGUUCGACGAAGACUCUCAACGAUACUAUGUUUCCUUUCCCGAUGAUCAGUAGUGGUGCCCAGUUGGGGGUGAUUGGGACCGUGUCGCAUGUUGGGUUAUCUUUUAUUUUGGUGCCGUAGUCGGGCCAUGAGUGUUUGGAUGAUGUAAUGUUAUUUAUGUACUUGAUUGACGUGGCGA
rnacentral:rRNA from 1 species